GAUAUAUUACACAGGGAUGUCCAUUGCUAAGACCAACAACCAUGGCUGAGGAGAGUUGAAAGUAAAUGAGCGCUAUUGAGAUAAAGGCCCAGUGCAAAUGUGAGAGAAUAAAUCGAAAAGCCAAGAAUUCUGAUGGCAGCCGGAGACUUGUGUCUGCACGAGGCCACUUUGCCCUGCCCACGUCUCACGUCCAAUGUGACCCGUCAGCAUGGAAACUCUGACUUCUAGAAACAAUGUCAUUUUAAUUAAAUUCCACAGAACCAUCUGUGGUCCCAGGGGACUUCAUCAUCGUGGGAUUUUUUUACCUUGCUGAUUAACUGAAAACUGCAUUCUUCAUAGCCAAACCAACAGAAGAUUCCCAAGAUGACAACUUCCUUCUUAACAAGGGGCUCCAGAAAUUUUGCUGAGAUGGAAUGGCAAAGGAACAGAACUGAAACCCUCUUUCCUUCCCCACCUUGAGCCCGUUCUUUGUGUUUGAUGCAGCCACAUCUAAGGGGUGUAAGGAGCUUCAGCUUCAAGGAGAGG